rnacentral:misc_RNA from 1 species
AACGCACAUUGCGCCCGGUGGUAUUCCGCCGGGCAUGCCUGUUCGAGCGUCAUUUAAACCAAUCCAGCCUGCUGGGUCUUGGGCCUUUCGCCUCUGGGCGGGCCUCAAAAUCAGUGGCGGUGCUGUCUAGCUCUAAGCGUAGUAAUACUUCUCGCUAUGGACACUAGGUAGUUACCUGCCAAUAACCCCUUAUUUUUCAAAGGUUGACCUCGGAUCAGGUAGGGAUACCCGCUGAACUUAA